UCCAUCGCAAGGUGGAAUCUGAAGGAAGCGUGAUGAGUAAAGUUCCGGCCCGAGGAACACGAACCGUAUUAAGCAUCCGAAAUGGGAUGAGUCUGCUAUCUGAGCGAUAUAGUGUUUAAUAACAUCCAUAUGGCUUAAGCAUUGGGUCUGCAAUCCAGAUGAAUCCU
rfam:Desulfotomaculum sp. 46_296 MPI_scaffold_134, whole genome shotgun sequence.